rnacentral:rRNA from 1 species
CCUACGGGUGGCUGCAGUGGGGAAUUUUGGACAAUGGGCGCAAGCCUGAUCCAGCCAUGCCGCGUGCGGGAAGAAGGCCUUCGGGUUGUAAACCGCUUUUGUCAGGGAAGAAACGGUUUGGGCUAAUACCUCGAACUAAUGACGGUACCUGAAGAAUAAGCACCGGCUAACUACGUGCCAGCAGCCGCGGUAAUACGUAGGGUGCAAGCGGUAAUCGGAAUUACGGGGCGUAAUGUGCGCGCCGGCGGUUAAAUCCCCGGGCUCAACCUGGGAACUGCAUUUGUGACUGCAUGACUUGAGUACGGUAGAGGGGGAUGGAAUUCCGCGUGUAGCAGUGAAAUGCGUAGAUAUGCGGAGGAACAACGAUGGCGAAGGCAAUCCCCUGGACCUGUACUGACGCUCAGGCACGAAAGCGUGGGGAGCAAACAGGAUUAGAUACCCCAGUAGUC